AGCAGCCCACUGCUCAGCUUCACAACUUAGCAAUACCUCCUCUACCUCAUCAAACACGCCUCCUACACCAGAACUAGCUGUCACCGUCUCAAAUAUUUCUACUCCAAACACUAUUGUGCAAUCCCUUGCUCCCAUCAUUGAACCACAACCGGUCUUAGUUUCUCCUUUAGUAGUUCCAAGUUGUAUUAAUGCAGGAAAUUCUGAGGAAGCUCUACCAGUGCGCAUGGUUACUCGAUCACAAACUGGCCAUCUAAAACCAAAUCCCAAAUAUGUGAUGCAUUUCAGUUGUUGAUGUCUCAGAGGUUGAACCCACAUGUUUUAGCAAAGCAGUGAAGCAAGAAGCAUGGCGUCAGGCCAUGGCUACAGAAUUUAGUGCCCUCCAGCAUUGCGGAACUUGGGUAUUGGUUCCAGCUACUUCUCACAUGAAUAUCUUACCUAAUAAAUGGGUGUACAAGGUAAAUAGGAAAUCUGAUGGUUCGAUUGAGAAGUUUAAAGCUCGUUUGGUUGCUAAUGGGUUCCAUCAACAAGAGGGUCUCGAUUAUACAGAGACUUUUAGUCUUGUGGUAAAGCAUACAACCAUUCGGAUGGUUCUAAGUCUGGCAAUUUCGAAUAAGGGGUUGGUACGACAAUUAGAUGUGCAAAAUGCUUUUCUUCAUGGUUUUUCAAAUGAAGAUGUUUUCAUACGACAACCGCAGGGAUUUGUUGAUCCUCAAUAUCCGAAUCAUGUUUGCAGAUUGUAGAGGUCUCUGUACGGGCUUAAACAAGCUCCAAGAGCUUGGUUUCAAAGAUUAUGAACUUAAUUCAGACUUUGGGUAAGCUAUUCUCCAUGAAGGACCUUGGGCCCCUCAAUUACUUUUUGGGAAUUGAAGUUACUUAUAAGGGUGAUUGUGUUCACUUGACACAAGCUAAGUAUGCAACUGAUUUAUUGGUACGCACUGGAUUUACAGAUUGUAAGCCUUUGUCCACUCCAUCUGCUCCUGGUCAAAAGUUGAGUAUGUAUUCUGGUGAACCUCUUUGUGAUCCUACUGAGUACAGGCAAGUUGUUGGUGCUUUGCAGUAUUUACUGAUUACCCGGCCUGAUCUUUCCUACCCUGUAAAUCAAGUAUGCCAAUUUAUGCAUUCUCUACCACAACUCACUGGCAAGCGGUAAAGCGCAUUCUCAGGUAUUUGAAAAAUUCGCUUUUGAUCAUGGUUUACGGUAUAAACCAGGUCAGCUGCAGUUGAGUGCUUAUUCCGAUGCUGAUUACACUGGAGAUCCUGAUUCACGACAUUCUACUGGUGGCUAUUGCAUUUUCUUAGGCUCCAAUCUUAUUUCAUGGAGCUCAAAGAAGCAAAAGACUGUUUACAGAUCAAGUACGGAAGCCGAAUAUUGUCAGCUUGCAUAUACAGCCGCAGAAUUAUCAUGGUUGCGUUCAUUGUUUCGUGAUUUUUCUCUUUCGUUGCCACCACCAAUUAUCUGGUGUGACAAUGUUUCUUCCCUCUCAUUGGCAUCAAAUCCGGUUUUUCAUUCACGAACGAAACAUUUGGAGGUUGAUUAUCAUUAUGUUAGGGAAAAAAUAGUGAGGGGUGAGCUGGUUGUAAACUAUAUUUGUUCUCAAGCUGCCUGUUCUUCAAAGCUCACUCAGCUUGCGGGGGGAUGUUAAGCCAAGUCCAAGUCAUGAGCAGAUUGUUAUUGAUAAGUCAGUUGUGGAUUUGAAUUUGAAUAGUUGAUAUGCUGAUAAUGUUAUUUUGUAAUUGAGCUGACCCUUGUUUAUUGGAACAACUCUUGUAUUUUGAAUUGUAAGUUAUUAAUACAGUAAUAUAAAUACGUGCUUACACCAAAGUUACUGGUGUAGCCUUUUCUCCCA